UCUAAUAUGGCAGAUUAGUGCAAUGGAUUUAAACCCCAAACAUAAAGCUAAAAACUUUUUUUAGAA
rnacentral:tRNA from 1 species